ACCUGCAUCCACGCCUGGAUUCCUAAUCCUGGGGAGUCCGAUAGGAAUAGGCUGAGUGAGAGCAAGCCAGUUCAGAUUUUCCAAGGAGCUCAGAGCAGCCUCAGAAGGUGGCGUGUGCUAUGGAGGGGAGGGAGCACGGUGAGUGGCGGGAGAGAUAGGAACCCACUUUGUGUUGAGGGAUGAGUACAAACUCACACCCUCUCACUCACAGCCUGCAUUGCUGCAGACAGCCUCACGUUCCUCCUCCAACUAUACAACGACUGCGGUGUGUGAUGUUACACAAGGCGAGCCACAAGUGUGCCGUUCUCGCUACAAACACGCACACAAACAAUUCCCACUGUUUUCUUCGCAGUGCACCCCACCAAGCGCCUGUGGGUGGUUGCCACGCGGCCACCGCGCGGAGGGCUCUGCUCCCCCAGCCCGGAGGGAGGAGGGUCCAACUCAACUGACGGUCGGCGUGGGGGGUGGAGAUUUCCCAGGCCCGCGCUUGGGUUUCCAGCCCCGCCGCUCUGGCGGGCGACGGCACCCCCACGCGCCUGAGGCCGGGCUCGGGGGCUGCGGGCCACCCUGAAUGCCGACCGAAGACCCCAGCCAGGCCCUGAAGGCCCAGCGGCCGCCGCUGCCACCCCGAAGUCUACGGCAAUCUGGCCUCCUUGUGUGUGCGAGGAGGUGGCGCGCGGAGCAGGGAGGGGGCGAGGCCCCACUCCCGUGUGCCGCCCCGAGGGGGGACCUUUGGUAGGAGCUGCUCCGGCCACCUCACGUUUUUCGCGCUGUGGUCCCAGAGCCCAAAUAUCUUCAGUUCCUGCCCGGGGGAGUCGCCGAGUCCCUAAAGCUGAAGACCCAGAAGCGGGAGCGGGACCUGGAGCUUUGCCACAGAAACGCCGGACAAUUUCCUCCUGGACGCUCACGUUCCGAUUCAGGCCCCGGGGCCCCAUCGCCUGCCCGAGACCAGAUGCGCAUUUCUCACAUCAAUUUUGCUGAGAAAGAGAGCCCAGCGGCCCGGAGGCGGGACCCUCCUCUAGUGACAGCGGCCACUCGCCAGCCCAGCGACAACAAAAGCCCAGGGAGAAACCCCGCUCCAUUCGGAAAAGUGAAAGCUGCCUAUGGUCCUGCCCCAGCUGCCCUCAGGGUGCAGGGACCCCCAAGAGUCCUUGGGAGAUUGAUGUCUCUGUCCCCAGCUGGGUUCGAGGCCCAGAAUUUUUGUGACCAUCACCGGAAAUUCACCUCAACCCUCAGACACUUCGGGCUCACAUCUCCCUGUGCCCCUGUGAGCAAUUCAGCCUGCCCUUGGUGUCUUCGACCUAGUUUUCCUCCCUCUCCCAAGGGUAAGGCCCUCUGGCUAACCGAAACUUGGGAGCCCUCAGGCUCCAUCCUGCUGUCCGACUGAUACCACCCGAAGCUUAGCCAGUGCCCCAAGGAGCGGGGAAGGAAUUCCCUCGGGUCCUGGGUAGGAUGCAUGAGCCCCAGGGCAAGUCUCCCCCCAUGCAGCCUUUGCCCCACACAAAUUAAUUCUGCACCCGUGCAGCCCUCAAAGUAUGCACACGUUUUCUCCCAGCAUUGCACGCCUCACUUUUUACCCGGACCUGGCGAAGCCUGCUUCUCUCACCCCUGCACCACUUGGUAGCUACCGCCGGUUUGUGCAAGAAGCGCCUCCUCCCUCACUACUUACCCCCACAUCCCUCAUUCUCAUGCCUGCCCCGAAACUCCUCCAAAUCUCCAAGGCCUGGGCAGAGGGUGACUAGCAGCGGCGAGACACCCAGAACCUGCCACGGCUUCACUGAAUAGGGCCCACUCAUUCAGACACCGUCACCGCCGGUUCUAGUAAAAUGGCAAAGACUUUAUUUAUCGGAGAAAGAGGCCUUGGGUACAGUCUGGGGAGGAGAGGGCAGGGCAGGAGCAGGGGAGUGGCACGCAGGACCCACCCUCAUCUGGCCACCCUUUUCUGGCCAAGUCGAGCUAGGAGCAGGGCAUUGGAAACUGCAAGACAGACCCAGAGCUGCAGAGGAGGUGGGGCGAGGGCUUAAGUCGGCCUCCUCUCGAUCUCUGUCACAUGCAAAAAAAUUCUAAAAAGAGUAAAAAAUAAUUCUAGGGCUUUGGGUUCCGUUUUCGUUGGUUGGUUGGAUUUCCCCCUGUUUUGUCCCUAAGACUCGGACCCCUCGGUAGUCAGUCCAAGGAAACCGAGAGAGGGUGGGAAGGAAUCUUAAAAAUAGCGUUACUGGGCAUUUGGAGGCAGAAAUGGCACUGAGAACAGGCUUCUCUCGAGGGGGGAAGAAAACAUCUAUUUGAAACUUGCAAGUCAAGACCCAGUUGCCCCCCUCAGCCCCUUCCGACGCAGGGGGGGAAAUGCAGAAGGAAA